UACGGAGGGUGCAAGCGUUAUCCGGAUUCACUGGGUUUAAAGGGUGCGUAGGCGGGCAGGUAAGUCAGACGUGAAAUCCCUCAGCUUAACUGGGGAACUGCGUCUGAUACUGGUUGGCUUGAGUGCAGGAGAGGAACGCGGAAUUCCAGGUGUAGCGGUGAAAUGCGUAGAUAUCUGGAGGAACACCGGUGGCGAAGGCGGCGUUCUGGACUGCAACUGACACUGAGGAACGAAAGCCAGGGGAGCAAACGGG
rnacentral:rRNA from 1 species